UGGGGAAUAUUGGACAAUGGGGGCAACCCUGAUCCAGCGAUGCCGCGUGAGUGAAGAAGGCCUUCGGGUCGUAAAGCUCUUUAGGUUGGGAAGAAGUUUAUUAGCUGAAUAAGCUAGUAGAUUGACGGUACCGACAGAAUAAGCACCGGCAAACUCUGUGCCAGCAGCCGCGGUAAUACAGAGGGUGCGAGCGUUAAUCGGAAUUACUGGGUGUAAAGGGCGCGUAGGCGGUGAGAUAUGUGUGUUGUGAAAGCCCCGGGCUUAACCUGGGAAGUGCAAUGCAAACGGUCUGACUAGAGUAUAUGAGAGGGUGGCGGAAUUUCCGGUGUAGCGGUGAAAUGCGUAGAGAUCGGAAGGAACGUCGAUGGCGAAGGCAGCCACCUGGCAUAAUACUGACGCUGAGGCGCGAAAGCGUGGGGAGCGAACA
rnacentral:rRNA from 1 species